rnacentral:lncRNA from 1 species
AUGGUGUCCAUCGCCUCCAUCCUUCCUAUGCUUCAGCAUGGAGACUACUUCGUGUCCAUAGAUUUACGAGACGCUUAUUUCCACGUAGCGAUCCGGAAAACCCACAGACGCUUCCUUUGCUUCAAGGUCCUCGACCAAACCUACCAGUUCACCGUUUUACCCUUUGGCCUCGUUACGGCCCCAAGGGUUUUCACCAAAGUCGUCGCUGUGGUGGCUGCCCACCUCAGGCUCCAAGGAAUCACAGUUUUUCCAUAUCUGGACAAUUGGCUUCUGGUCGGGUCCGACCCUGUCCUCCUCCGACGUCACGUGGACACCACCCUCAGUCUCCUAGACUCUCUCGGUCUCCAGCUAAAUCCCUACAAAUCUCACCUCUUUCCGUCGAACAAAAUCCGCUUCAUCGGCGCCUUGUUCGACUCAAUCUCUCAAACUGUCUCUCUCCCGCUCGACAGGUUUCUCGCCCUUCGCCAACAAAUCACUCUCUGCGAAAACAAUCGGAGAGUUCGAGCCCGGUGUAUCCAGGUACUCUUGGGCCACAUGGCCUCCACAGUCCUCACCACCCCGUUUGCCAGGCUCCACCUUCGGACCCUGCAGAGAUGGUUUAUAGACGUUUUCAAGCCAUCCCGCCACCUCAACUCGAGGUUCCUCUCCAUCCCGCUCCAUGUUCGUCAGUCGCUUCGCUGGUGGAAGUCCCUCUCCAAUGUUUGCAAGGGCCUCCCGUUCCAUCCGACUCCCCCCUCGAUUACCAUAACCACGGACUCCUCCAACUACGGCUGGGGAGCCCACAUGGACAGUCUCACCGUACAAGGUCUUUGGUCUCGUUCUGAGAGGACCAAUCACAUAAACUUUCUGGAACUUCUCGCCAUCUUCAAGGCUCUGAAAGCCUUCUCCCGCCUGAUCUACCAAAAAUCUGUCCUCGUUCAAUCAGACAACACAGUGGCAGUCUUCUACAUCAACAAACAAGGCGGCACGGGUUCGAGGAAGCUGAUGCUUCUCUCCUCUCAGCUGUGGGCCUGGUGCAUAGCCCACAAUAUACAGCUCCUGGCAGCUCAUCUUCCCGGGAUCCAAAACAGCUUGGCAGAUGCCCUCAGCAGGAUGACGAGUUCCUGCCACGAGUGGAUGCUCGAUCCCGAGACUCUUCUUUCUCUCUUCCACAAAUGGGGAUACCCCACCCUGGACCUCUUUGCCUCUCCCCAGAAUGCACAACUACCUCGAUACGGGGCGAGACUUCCUCCGGCCUCCUUUCCAGGCUGCCUGGGAGACGCUUUUCUUCUGGACUGGUCAUCGGAACCGAUCUACCUCUUUCCGCCUUUCCCUCUGAUACCGAAGGUCCUGCAGAAACUCCGGUCGAUAUCGACGUCGGCGAUCCUGAUAACCCCGGCCUGGCCUCGACAGCCUUGGUACCCAGCCCUUCUUCACCUCUCCAGAGGGACCUUUCUCACUCUGCCUCUUCUGCCACACCUCUUGUCCAGAGAAAACGGCCAGAUCCUGCACCUGGAUCUCCCCUCUCUACAUCUCACUGCAUGGAGAAUUCUCGCCUAA